rnacentral:lncRNA from 1 species
GUAUGCAGGAAUCGUAAACGCCAGCCAAGCCACACAUGAUCCCCCAAAACCCACCUUAGCUGUGUUCUGAAAACAGGGCACACAAAUCGAGCAAUUAAACGCUUAGUGCAGUAUCUAUUCACAUUGGCAUAAAAGGUGCAUCACUAUCAAAGGUGUUCUCGUGAUGAUUUCGUUCGGUACAUCACCUUGUACAUGCAUUUCAUCGAAUAGGCUGCAUGCAAGAAAUCAUUCUUCUAGCCCUGGUCACCUCCCUUCCCCAGAUCCCCUUCAUGCAACUCUUCUCCCUAGAAUCCAUGACCAAACUACCAAAACAGCUGCAACCACAAGCAAUUGGCGUGCAUUCCAGCAUCUCAUUGCAAGCACAAGGAGACAAAUCAGCAAUGUUAACCAGGGCCAGGGUCAUGCCCACCACAGCGAGGGCCUGCCGUCUCGACCCGAUAUGCAAGCACAAUUAGGACCCGAUCGCAAUCUUGAAGUACGAGGUUGCUGGAGGGGAUCGAGCGCGGAAGGCCACGGCCGCCGGCGCCUCGCCUGCUCCUGCUUGCAGUCGCGAUCACCGGCGACGGCGCCCCGCCGGUGCCUCGCCCAGUCCAUUGUGCACCGGUGGCGCUGCCCCCCGACUGUCCUGCCGUGACAGAUGAGGAGGGACACCCCUAUUUUCUUGUUUCGUUUUUUCUUUUUUUGUUUCUCCUUUUUUUUCUUAUUUAAAUAACUCGAUAGUUCGAAAUAGAUUCAAAAUUCAGAAAAUUGUGAAUUUUUGAAAACCUUCAUGGAGCCAAAAAUUGUCCCUUAAUUCUAAUAAUAUACACGAAUUUUAAAAAGAUUCAUGACUUAUAAAAUGUUCAUGAAUUUGGAUAUUCAUGAACAUUUUUUAUCAGAUGAACAAAUUUUGAAUUUUAUUCACCUAUUAAAAAUGUUCAUCAAUAUUCUUAUCAGCUGAAUUUUCAGUUUUCAAACUGUUCAUUAAAUUCAAAAAAAAUUUAUCUGACAAAAAUAUUCAUCAAUAUCCAAAAUUCACGAAUAUGUUUUAAAAUCACAAACAAUUUUCAAAUUCAUGAACAUUAUUCGAAUUCAGGGACAUUUUUGGCUCCACGAAAUUAUUUUAAUUCGUAUUUUUUAAAUUUUAAAACUAUUUCAAAAUCCCGAAUUAUUUAAACAAGAAAACAAAACCAAAAGAAAACACAAAAAAGAAACAAGAAAAUAGGAGGCGCCCUGACGCUGCUCAUGGACCUCCUGCGAGAUGGGCCGGCCCAUCUAAUUGUCUCUUCUUCGGAUUUUAACCCGCAAAAAACUAGGCUGGUAAUGCGAUCGAACUAGACACCCACAGCAACCACCGGGCUGUCUAACAAGCUUGUGCACAGUCACUUUGUAGCUUCUUUUUAUUUCCUUCUUUAGUUCGGUUUUUCUAUUUUCCUUUGUUGUUUCUUUCACUUUUUUGUUUUCUUAAAUGCACGUUUUUUUGUUUACUUCGUAUUUUCUUAAACCCAUGAACAUUUAUUAAAUUACAUGAUUCCUUUCAAAUUCGAUGAUUUUUUUUCCAAAUUUGAUGAAAUUCUUUCAAAUUAGAUCAAAAUUUUCAAAUUCAAUAAACUUUGUUUCCAAUUUGAUGAACAUUUUUCAUAAUUGGUGCGCAUUUUUAAAAAAAUUAUGAACUUUUUAGGAUUUUUUCACUUUUUUUCGUGAACUUUUCCAAAUUCAUAAACUUAUUUUUCAAAUUAUUGAACUUUUUCAAAUGCUCAAAUUUAUUUACGGUUUUGAAUUGUCAAUGGUUAACAGUUUUUUUUGUUGAGAAAUACUGUUUAACAUUAUUCUUUGCGAAAUACUGCUCAACAUAUGUACAACGAACGACCGAGCUAGGAAAAUAAUCGAGUCAAGCAAUCGAACUGCGACCUCGCGAUCUGACUGUUUUUGCGCUUAAUGGCCCGGCCCAUCUGUCAGUGCACGUGAGCGCCAGCGGGCGAACUAGCGCCUGAAGCGCCAUUUAGGAGCUCCCCUAUGUUGUUUUUUUACGUAUUCACGGACGUCCUAAAAUGCUGUUUGCGCUGGCCAAUAUUUGGGCUUUUAUUGUGUCCGUUCUAGAACCUUCUUUCCUGAAGUGACUUUUUCUUUGCUCUUUUUUCUGCUAGUUUUAUCUUUUUUCUUUUUAUUUAUUUUAUCUGCACUUAUUUUAAAUUAUUAAUUCGGUAACAUUUUCUGAGAUUCAUGAAUAUUUUUCUUAAUUCUUGAACAUUUUUUUAAUUGGGUUUAUUUUAUGAAAUUUUGAUUUUUUUUAAUAAUUAAGUGCAUUUUUUAAAUGUAUGCACCUUUCCCGAACUCACGAAAUAUUUUAUAAAAGUCACAAACAAUUUUGAAAUUUUGGUGUUUUUAUAGGCGCACUCUUCAUAGACGAGUCAAUUUCUUUUUUCGCCAAAGUUUUGUGCUUACAACCAGCUCCUGCCAGCCCAUGUAAAAAACAAAACUUCUCCCGGGCCAUCCUUUACCAUGCAAGCCACCGCCACCUGAAUUCGCCUCCUGUUUUCAGAAGAAAGUAACCCUGAAAUCCCUCGCCCCUGAAGGACAUCCAUGCAAAUACAAUUUUCUGUUUCUGUUUCAAUGGCAAGAAGAGGACUUCCAAAAAAAUUCCAUCAUACGCGUGUCAAACAGCAUGUUUAUUAGUAAUUAUUAUGCAGCGAUUUAGAGUUACACUUCCAAUCAGCAGUUACACUCUCUCAUCUGUGAGAGCAACCUCCAGCGGUACAUCCCGGAGCUCCUUCCACCCCCAUCCAUUAUAUUCACCCCCGGAGUGCGCUCAUCCACUGUCGCAUGCGUGUACGCAGGAAUCAUAAACACCAGCCAAGCCACACAUGAUCCCCCGAAACCCACCUUAGCUGUGUUCUGAAAACAGGGCAGAGAUAACAAAGUCAGUAAUUAGGCAUCUAGCUAUCGCAUCUCUGGCGUGACCCCACCUUCUGUGUUCUGAAAGCUCCUUGUCAUGGCCAAGAAAAGGAUCUGGCGUAUAUAGUUUUCAGAAGAGAAAGACCAUUGGCCCUGCUUUAUAUAUAUGAAGCAACAGUUGAUACAAGUUUGCUGGGUUUAGUUUAGUUUACUUUCAUCCACUUUGCCAAUGUGUUAAAGUUUCUGGUACAUGUGAUGUGUUACGAUAACAUUGCUGCUGCUGCUAUCAUCUCAGGUACCCAGAUGACCCUUUCGAUAGGAUCUGGCAAUCUGACCUGGUGGAACCACUGGAGAUGGCCGGAGGGACCAGGCGGGUGUCCACCUCGAGGCCAGUUUUCGUCGGUAGACAGGAAGAGCCGCCACAGAGGGUCAUGCAGACUGCAGUAGUCGGCCAGAGGGGUUUUCUAUCCUACGAGUUCAUGUUCCAGAGGAACCCAGGGCAUUCAUGGGUCACCAUUUAUUUUUCAGAAAUAGAGGAUCUGGCGCCAACAGAAAUCCGAAACUUCACGGUAGAGGUUUCAGAUUGGCCAGAAUACAACGGUCUGACGGUUGAUGUGGCAGCGGAGGCUGGAGGUAAAUACCGUCUCUAUGAGCUAAGGUGUAUCAACGUAUCAGUUCAUCAUCUUCUCUUUAUGGAGUUGAGUAAGAGGAGUGAAUUUUCCAAAGGCCCUAUCAUCAAUGCUAUUGAGAUAUACAACUAUCUACCAAUUGCUGCAGGUAAGCAAUCGUCCUUUUCUAUACUAGUGUACAGUACCAAUUUUGAAUUGCAUCUUCAAACUCAUUACAAUGCUUAGAAUCUUCAAAACUGCAUCCCACUGUUUCAAUCUCGAUAUUGUUUGCAACUACUUUCUGUAAAGGAUGUCGUCUGGCGAAUACUUUUAAUACAUAAGAGCACAAGACACCGUAAACAUGUGAAAUAAGCUCAAAGUCACAACCUAGUCUCGACAGCUAACGAACAAACCUCCAUCCACCAGCAUGUGCGGAUUAAAAUAAAUAUGCAUUUAUUCAUAAAAUAAAAUAAAAUAAAGAUGCACCAGACCUUUAAUCAAUUUGGGCUGGGCAGCUUCCAGGAGCUCAUAUGUCUUGACACAAUAACCUGCAUGUCCAGUUAAUGUAGUUAAUGCUCAGUAAAUUCAGUUGUGUAUUUUGCAAACCUGAACUCGAAAUCUUACAUGUUCAAUACCAUCUGCUGAUUUAUUUUCCUCACAAAAGUAAAAAACACCAUCUGCUGCAUUCAGACUUUCAAAGCAGAACACCAUAGCCACAUGA